rnacentral:lncRNA from 1 species
CUCGGCUCACUGCAACCUCCCUGCCUGAUUCUCCUGCCUCAGUCUGCCGAAUGCCUGCGAUUGCAGGCACGCGCCGCCACGCCUGACUGGUUUUGGUGGAGACGGGGUUUCGCUGUGUUGGCCGGGCCGGUCUCCAGCCCCUAACCGCGAGUGAUCCGCCAACCUCGGCCUCCCGAGGUGCCGGGAUUGCAGACGGAGUCUCGUUCACUCAGUGCUCAAUGGUGCCCAGGCUGGAGUGCAGUGACGUGAUCUCGGCUCACUACAACCUACACCUCCCAGCCGCCUGCCUUGGCCUCCCAAAGUGCCGAGACUGCAGCCUCUGCCCGGCCGCCACCCCGUCUGGGAAGUGAGGAGUGUCUCUGCCUGGCCGCCCAUCGUCUGGGAUGUGAGGAGCCCCUCUGCCUGGCUGCCCAGUCUGGAAAGUGAGGAGCGUCUCCGCCCGGCCGCCAUCCCAUCUAGGAAGUGAGGAGCGCCUCUUCCCAGCCGCCAUCACAUCUAGGAAGUGAGGAGCGUCUCUGCCCGGCCGCCCAUAGUCUGAGAUGUGGGGAGCGCCUCUGCCCCGCCGCCCCAUCUGGGAUGUGAGGAGCGCCUCUGCCCGGCCGAGACCCCGUCUGGGAGGUGAGGAGCGUCUCUGCCCGGCCGCCCCGUCUGAGAAGUGAGGAGACCCUCUGCCUGGCAACCACCCCGUCUGAGAAGUGAGGAGCCCCUCCGCCCGGCAGCUGCCCUGUCUGAGAAGUGAGGAGCCUCUCCGCCCGGCAGCCACCCCAUCUGGG